rnacentral:rRNA from 1 species
UACGGGGGGAGCAAGCGUUGUUCGGAUUUACUGGGCGUAAAGGGCGCGUAGGCGGCAUGACAAGUCACUUGUGAAAUCUCCGGGCUUAACUCGGAACGGCCAAGUGAAACUGUCAAGCUAGAGUGCAGAAGGGGCAAUCGGAAUUCUUGGUGUAGCGGUGAAAUGCGUAGAUAUCAAGAGGAACACCUGAGGUGAAGACGGGUUGCUGGGCUGACACUGACGCUGAGGCGCGAAAGCCAGGGGAGCAAACGGG